ACAGCCACGGUCUUUAGAUGUGCUAGUUUGGAGAACAUUGUGUGUCCUUCUGGUGAGAAACCACAGACCUCAGAGCUCCGCGGAGA